GCGAAAAGUCCCAUGGCAAAGAGAAUGGAUAAAGGGAGGUGUUGCGACAUUGAGGCUCAUGAUUCCAUCCAACGCAAGGGCAUCUCCCAGAAGAGGAGACUGAGGUUCCAAGAGGUUAAGUAAUUUGCCUGAGGUCACACAGCUUGUAAGAGGCAGGUCCAGGAUCUUCGCUAACACAGAAGUUUCCUGAGUCCAGGAUUGAGACCCCCUGAAGUGGAAAUGCAGGAUGAAACAGACGCCUAUUUUAGAAGCUUUGGAGAUGCAAACGCGAAUGCCCUUUGGAAAGGCUGGGUCCAUUUCAGCAUGUUCUGUUUGGGAUGCUACCCUUGAGGGGCGUGGAAAAACUGCUGUGUGUUCAGAAGGCAGGACUGGAAAGCAGCUUGGUUAUGUGAGUAAAGAGAAAGAGAGAGAAAUCCCAUUUAGGCUGGGAGAGAAGCAGUUUGGGGCAGGGGGAGCCCCAAAAGCCGUCUUCAAAGAUCUGGAAGCCUGAGAGUCUGACUGCAGAAGCCGAAGCACACAAAGCUUCAUGAGCAGUGGUCAGUGUCAAGCUUAAACAGCAGUGGCUCUCGGAGAGUGGCCUGGGAGCACUCAGGCAAGGAGGCAUUCAUGCAGAAGAAAAGUCCUCCUGGAAGCAGCCGUCAGCUGGAAACACUUGUCACUCGAGUAGUUUCAGUGAAUUGACUUUGUGGGUUUUUUUUCCCACUUCCCUUUGUUUCUCUGGGAAGCAAACUGGGUGUGUAGGAUGAGAGUGGUCUUUGGGCCUGACCUGGGUUUGAAUCCAGACUCUGUUUACUCGCUGUGUGGCCUUGGGUGAUUUCCAAACAUUUCUGAACCUCAGUUUUCACAUCU
ensembl:lncRNA